rnacentral:misc_RNA from 1 species
GUCUCGGCUGUCUCGGCGCACAAUCGCCGCCGCCGUUGCAAAGGAGGAGUCGUGCAGCCGAAAGGACGCUGAGGGAGGGGUCCGAUCGUGUGUCCGUCCUUCUUUGUUGUUUUUCGCUUCGCUUUUCGCGUGUCUAUCUCACUCCUUCACCACCACUACCACCACCCCCUCGGCCGUGAAGCCUUCACCGUGGGUUGGCGGCGGCCCUGACAUAAGGCGUGCGUGGGUGUGAGAUAGGCGCACGCGCCCCUCCCCUCGAGGGCCACCUACGUUUUAUAGAAGUGGAGCACCGAGCACACGCAUAAAAGCUUGAUCUCCCGCCUGCUCAGUGGCUCUCGCCGGUGCACAGGCACACAUACACUCAUAUACAGCCUUGCGCGCGCGCACUUGUGGUCUUCGCCUACUCCAGACUCUGCGAGCCGUAGGUCAAUGUCAUCGUCGCGUACUCGGAGGCAGCCACAAAGGCCAGUCGUGGCGUCGACGGAUUCCUCGGCCCUCACGACAGUGAACACGGACGACAUGCUGCGGCAAUGCGAGCGGCUGAUCGUGCAGCUCUCUCAACAGGUGCUGGAGCAGGAGAAGGAUAUCCGCUCCCUGCGGGCGGCACUGCACUCCAGUCCACACCGGCAGCGCCGAGACCGGCAACGGGGUGGUGAUGAGAAGCGCGAACGUGCAGCGGCCGUCAGCACGGCAGAGAGUUUCAGCGUAUCGGCGGAGGGGCGCCGGCAUCAUCACGCACAUCACAUCACAGCCAAAGCGCCCACACAGAGGAAGAUGACGCACGAAGACCCUCGACUGUGCCUCACUCUCCCAUCGCCGACGACACCGCAGGUGUCCCCCAUCAACUCGUCCGAGGACGCGGGCGUCGACUCCACCACGGGGCCCUAUCCAGAAGCCACUGUCGUGGCACCGCACAGCCCCCAGAGCAGCGGAGCAGGAAGUGCUGUACCCUCGCCGACGCGCUCCGCCAGCAAGUCGAGCGGGCAGCACGGCAUGGCGGCGGCGCUCGCUUUUCCGUCUAUCGUAUGCGACGUUAGCAGCUUCAGCGAUAAGGCCAACGUCGGCCUAACACCCAGCACUGUGUGUGAUCGUCCUCCGUCCGGCGAGGCAGCAACUGCAGACGCGCUUUGGGCAUCGUCGCUGCUAUCAGAGCAGGAGAGGAGCAGCAGUAGCAGCUCCCUCGCCCGGCACCCUCGCAACACUGCACAACGCACGCGGAAUGCACAGUUCGAGACCCCGCGAGUGAAGUUCGAUAACCAGGAUGCAAUGAGCUACCUGCUGAGCGUGUUUUCCAGCGUCAAGUCAACCCGUGAGGCCGAUGGUGGUGCGACAGCGGCGAUGGCGGAGGUCGGUGAAACGGCUCCCUGUGGAAGAGAACAUCGCGGCGGUGCAGGCGUGCGCUCGCCAAACGCACCGCUGCAGCGGCAAGGUGAGCAUGUCGCGCGGCGACUCUUUCGUCUUGACCCUGUCGAUGAAGAUGAGGGCAGCGAGAGCGGCAAUGAGCACUCGAGUGGCGGCGCUGUGUCCGACUAUGACCGUCCUGCGGCGAGGCGCCCUUUUUUGCCGCCCUCGCGCGACAAGCGAUGCGACGGCGACGGCAGCGCACCACCGAAUCACAAGACGUGCGGCUCCUUCGAUGAGGACGAUGCGUUCUUGCAGGAGCGGUACGCGCGCAUUGUGGCAUGCGCGUUAGCCGCUGAGUUCACCGCCUUCACCACACUAGUGGGAGAGGAUGAAGUACAGCAGCAGCGAGGAUGCAAGACGGGGCCUCGCACGCCUACGGCCGCUCGGUGUCGCACCACGUCUCGGCGCGAUCACAGCACCAGUGCAACGGUGUCGGAGCUACUGCAACUCUUCACUUUCCAGCCUGCCACGAGACAUCAGCCGGACAGUGAUGGGAAGGGCUUGUAAGGACAGCAACUCCUCGGCACCACCACGUAGUGGAAGCUGGCACUGCAAGCUUUACAGGAGCAACGGUUGUGGUGGUGCCACACUGCCGUCUGUGUAAUGGUACAUGGUGCGGAGUCUGCAGGGAGUAGCAGCAGCGAGAGGGGCUCAUGCGGAGGCAAGGCUGCCGCAUCUGCUCUGCACGGGCAUGAGCCCUCAGCUCUGGCGCUGAAGGAGGCGGCGGGGGUGCCGGCGCCUGCGAUAUCGGAGGUGGUUCACGCGACUCUGCCGAUCACAGCGAUGCUUUGGCCACGUGCAGUGGCGUGUGGGUGUCUGUGCACCUCUGUGAAGGCAUCUGUUCAUAGAAGAGGGUGCGGGGGGAAGCUCGCGGCUCCCGUGCAUCGACUUGGUUUCUUGUGUCGUUUUACAUCCUCUCCCGCGGCGUGUGAGCAUGUGCCUGUCGCCCGAGCAGCGUUGAUGCUAUGUGAGCU